GGACUUGUGGGUCGGUCGUGCCUCCGGUACGUACUGGCUCUACCGGUUCCUCCCUUCUGAAGAACCACGAUGUCAUUAAUUUGGUGUCAUGGGGAAUCAGGACUGUUACUUUGAAAAAAUUAGAGUGUUUAAAGCGGGCUAAAGCUUGAAUAGAUUAGCAUGGAAUAAUGAAAUAGGACGUUUGAUCUUAUUUUGUUGGUUUCUAAGAUCGACGUA
rnacentral:rRNA from 1 species